UGGGGAAUUUUGCACAAUGGGGGAAACCCUGAUGCAGCGACGCCGCGUGAUUUAGAAGGCCUUCGGGUUGUAAAAAUCGUUUCUAUGGGAAGAAAAUGACAGUACCAUAGGAAUAAGGACCGGCUAAUUACGUGCCAGCAGCCGCGGUAAUACGUAAGGUCCGAGCGUUGUCCGGAAUCAUUGGGCGUAAAGGGUACGUAGGCGGGUAAGCAAGUUAGACGUGAAAUCCUAUAGCUCAACUAUAGUAAGCUUUUAAAACUGCUCAUCUUGAGGGAUGGAAGGGAAAGUGGAAUUCCUUGUGUAGCGGUGAAAUGCGCAGAUAUUAGGAGGAAUACCGGUGGCGAAGGCGACUUUCUGGCCAUAACCUGACGCUGAGGUACGAAAGCGUGGGUAGCAAACAGG
rnacentral:rRNA from 1 species